CAGGAGAGGAUAUGAUUUUGAUUUAAGUCUUGAUAUGCUUUUCUCAGAAUCAAACUUCUCUUGACUCUUCUUUUACUCAUCAAGAUUAUGUUUUGUAUAAUUUUUUGAUAUAAUUCUUUGUUUGGUAAUCGAGAGACGCGUUUAUCGGUUUUGCAGCGGGCUAAGAGCUUCCGAUGUCUAGAAUGCGUUCAUAAAAUGGACAAGAGCACAGAGCCAAU
rnacentral:lncRNA from 1 species